UUUAUUUAUUGUCUAUUUGUGCUUUUGUCUGAGGAGCAAAUCCUGUCAUUUGUGCACACUAUGCAAUUGCCAUACUAUAUGAUUAUGUAUGAUUCCAGGCCAAUCUUUUAGUUUUAAAUGGAAAAGUAUCAGUAAACACUGUUUUGAAAACAGAAUAAUAAAGCCCAUGGAACAUGGAUAUAAUACAAAUAUUUCACAUAGAUGUAGAAUGUUUGCUUUUAUAUUGCUACAGAAAAAAUUUAUAGGCUAAUGAAGUAAAAAGUUAAACUAAAGUUAACUUAUUACUAAAGUAAAUCAUUCAAAAUUAGGUAAAAUAUGAUUCUAUUUAUAUGUUCAUGGAUGCCCACUUUAGUUUUUCAAAUCAGCCAUAGUAAUAGAUAUCUGAGGCCUGAAUCCUUGAGAAUCCUGAGGUUUUAGGAGUGCUGUUACUGCAGGUUUUUGAGCUUCCUGUCCAACUUAGUAAGAGCCCCACCUCAAAAACAAAAUGCUUCAAAAUAACAUGGUACUCUUUCUUGAUCUUUUAAAAUACAAUUAAGGCCCCCCCAAAAAAAAUCACAGGCAACUCUCAUGAGGAGAUAAUGCUUGAAAUUGCCAGACCUCUUAAUUUAUGCAUUUGUGAAGUAAUAUUUAUUUAAUAUUCAUUAUUUAAUAUUCCAAAUAACUCAGUUGGAGCACACAGAAGUAUGAAACCCAGACCUCUGUCAUGAUAGAGCAUAUAAUCUAGCAGGGUGCUAGAAACAAAUAAUAAACAUAGAAUGAGAUAAUGCUAUCGCAAGGGAAUGGAGUAGAGAAAAGUGUGUGGGAACCAAAGGGGAAGAAUUAAAUAGGUGAGUAAAGUGAACUGUCAUUGAAAAUGUAACCUGUGAGGCCCCUGAGGGAGACCUGGUGGGCUUCAAAGACCAUGCUUCAAAGACCAUAGUUUUGGCUUCAUUGCUAACAAACCUUUGUUUCCUUUUAGUCAAACCCUGAUGGUCUGUAUUUGGAAUCAACUAGAAUACGAGAAUUAAAUCUGUUGACAGAGUAACAGAUUUUGAAUGAAAUGUUAAAUUUUUAUUAGGUCAUCUAUUCUCAGAAAGAAAGAAAAGUUGUGAAUGUUGUCUCUCAUAUGCAGAUCCUCUCUAUGUAUACAUGCAUGCAUGUAAACACACGUACAUGUGAGUGUAGUGUGACAUCUAGACGGGAGAAAAGAAAGGAUAGCAUUAGGUGUUGAGGAAUGACAGAAUACAAAUAAGGUGACGAGAAUUUUCAGAGAGGAUAUGAAGCUAAUUAUACUUCAUUUUAUUUCUAUAAUGUCUUUUGUCUUAUGAUACAUACAUAAAAUGUAUUCUUCAAAGUGUAACUCACACAACUUCAUUGAGAUGUGUUGAAUUUAAGACUCUUUAGAUAUUUGAGUAGAUGCUUCAUUUCUGUGCAAAGUCUGUAUUUGUGAAUUCAUUACCAUAAAGUGUUUUUUUUAAAUCUUUAGAGCAAUGAUUAGGAGAGAAUCUAUACUAUUAUCGUUACUUAGUCUUCUCCUAGAAUUUUAUAUAAAUCUAUGAAAAUUAAGUAAUAUUUGUCAAAUAGUAACACGAGAAAUUUAUUGUAUAUAUUGAAAAAUUUGGAAAUGACCUAGUUUUCUUUAGACACCAAUGGAUAAUAUUUCUGUAACUCACUAUUUUGUGUUUCCAAUGAAUCAGAGACAUAUACUCUCUUUCCCCACUUCCCUUUGCUCAGCAUUACUGAUGGGAAGUAUCCACUUUUCCUCUUUCGCUUUAUCCAUCCAGCCAUGCCCUCUGUUCGGAAACUCUCACGCAGCUGGGUUGCAGUUCAUGUGCUCUGUGCUUCCUUUAUCUUCUGUAUAAUACAAUUUGCUGUGUAUGUACUUGCUUCAACGACAUGUGAAGCACUUCACACUGGAGUCUUUUUCCUUGUAGUAUUGCAAACCUUGAGCUGAAGAAAGAUUUUGUGACCCAAAGUGAUGCACUUUCCAGAACCCCGAUACUCAAGAGAGCAAGGUGUUAUAUCAUCUGUUCCCUUAAGCUGACGAACCAAUACUCCCCUGAAGAAUAGAAAUUUGCUGCGUUUUUUUUACACGAGGUCCAAGCAGAUGAGCAACGCAACAAAACGCACGAAAAGUAUUAAUUCUGAUAUUCUAAACUGCAAAGGAGACAACGAUUUUUCUAAGAAUUUUCAAGGAGGACAUGAGAAAGACCCACUAUCAAAUGAAUGUCAUUUACCAGUGUUGUGCUGAAAGGAAGUGCUAAGCAAUCCAGGCCUCAUGGACACUUAGGGAAGAUUGGUUGUUUUCUAGAAGCUGCCCAGGUAGGGAUAAGGUUCUAUAAAAUGACAGUGUUGCCUUGUUGUCUGUGAGGGCAAUGCACACUAAGGGGUAAGGAAAUACUCUAGUUCCCACAGAAUUUCUGAGUUUUUGCUUAAUGUAGAGUUGGUAGCCCAUCUGGGAAAGAAAAUUAGUUUGGGAUGAGACCCAAAAUAAAUAUGGUAGAUAAUUUACCCUGAAAUUGUGUAGACCUCAGCUUGAAGUCAGAGGCAAUGCAAUUCCACUCUCUGAUGAGUGUUCAGUGAUGCACUGAUCUGUGGGUAUGGCAAUAUGGCAUUAGGAGUGAUUUUAAUAUUAUAUCUAUUUCUCGACCUAAUAGUACUAGGUUCUUCAUUGGGAGCCUGUGUGUCACUUACUAAAUAUUUUAGAAUGCAAAGAAGAAAGGAAAGACUGAUGAGAGAAUCUCUGAUUUUCUACUUGAAUGUGCAGAAAUUAACUAUGCCACUUACAUGAUCUUAGUUUGGUUAACCUAAUCUAUGUUCAUGAAAAAUCAGUGUGGGUGGCAAUCGUUUGACGAUGUAUUUAAGGCAGGAGGUAUCAGAGAAGUGACAUCAAGCCUCAAAGAGAUGCGCCAGCCUUCUUUGACUCCCCAUUGGAAGCCUUACUCUCUCUGAGGACUGGAUGGGCUU